GUUUUACAUUCUAUUUUGGGAGCUACACUUGAAGACGGACAGAAAUGUAUGAGGACAUGCUCAUCAUGGGACAAAAACAUUUGGAAUCAUUCAUUCACUUAUUUACUUACUCAUUCAGUAGAUCUUUACUGGGUGCCCAUCAUGCUCCAGACUCUUGGUCCUGCAGCAUGCUCUACUCGCUGUGCGUGGGACCUGUGAGAUAAUCAGUGAAGAGAGACGGAAGGAUAUGAAAAUGAGAGAGCUAGAUCCACAUCUGUAAAUGUCUAAGUCAUGCUGCCAGCCAGUCUUGCCUACAGCUACUUGAUUCUGGGAGAGCCUUCUAUAAAACUGAUUACAGCAUUUCCCUGCCACACAGUGAAAAAACAAUGUAGUUUGAUAUGAUAAAACAUUGAUUGAAUACAGGGGAUAUGAAAGUGUCUGUCAUCAGAUUGGAGGGGCAAAAAGAGUGGCUUUCUUCUUUCUUUGGGGUGAGGUAGGUAUGAGAAUUGCAUAGAUAUUCAUUGAGAUAAGCUUGUUGGUCUUUCCUGUGAAAUCACUUGUUAUCAGAGCUUUGCCCCCUUUCAGCUCUCAGUGAAUAUUUCCAUCCCCCUAGAAGUGUGUGUGUUUUGUGAUAGGGGAGACUGAGAAAAUGAAAGAGGAUUAGCGUUUGCUAAAUAUCCCCUCAUUCAUUCACUGAUUAUUUCCUUUUAUGUUAAUUGAUAGACUGAUAUCUUUCUAAGUGUCUGGCACCUAAUAGGUAUUGAAUUAAACUAUUGAAUAAAUAAAAAUAUAGGUUUCCAAUUCAAUAAAGCAAAAUAUAAAACCAAAUGAGUAUUUUAUUUUGGGGUGAAAUGAUGAUGUAUUGACAGAGGUUGGGGUUCUGUGAAUGGAAGAGGCAAGGGGCCUGGUCACUCUGCUCAGGGAGAUUAUAAUCUCAUUAAUUAAACAGUUUUGUAC
rnacentral:lncRNA from 1 species